GGUGAAGUUGGUAUAUUGCUACUAAGGUGGGGAAAUUUAUAAUUUCAAAAUUAAAAUCGUCUCGUUUGUCAUAGAUUAUGGUACUGAGAUGACUGUGUAAGUCAAAUUCGAGAUAUAAGUCUAAAAAUGAGGCAGAGGAAGCCGUGUCUGGUGUUUCUUUAAUUCUAGUUAUAGGGGAUAUAUUAAUGGAACCCAAUCAGAA
rnacentral:lncRNA from 1 species